GUUUGCAGAUUACUCAGUCAUGUUUAAAGCUUCAGACCGUUUGGCCAAAGGAUAAGCAAAACUCACAGGCAAGGCGGAAUAAAGAGGGAGGUGUGUAUUUUUAUUAUGAUUGACAAGCCACUGGUGGCAGGGAAUUCAGGAUGAGUGAAGAUAGCAUCCCUGGUAAAAAAAUGACUCAUGUAAAAGGAAAUGAGUGAAGAAUGCAAGAUGCACUGAAGAUAUUUUAGAAUCCUCUCCUCUGGAUUCUAAUGAUAUAUUACACUUGAUAGUGUCAAAUUUUGAUGCCACACAUGGUAUGGUUUCAACCAAAACCACUUACCUAUACAUCCUAUGAAGGUAAGCAUGAAGAUACAAAUGCCACACUAAGAUUUAAGUACAAGAUCCGAGCCGAAUGCAGAUACUUCUUGUGGGCCACAAAACUGCAGAAUGCAGAUACUUCUUCAUUCUGAUUCUACUCCGUUACUGACUACUCGAGCAGCUUCUUUGUUCGACAAAACAAGUCCACAUGUACAGAAUUUCUAAGUAUUGGAAUGUACAAAGAUGUUUUUUCUCCUCCUGGCUCAGUACCAGUUUAAGAAAUUGAGCCGCAGUGACCAAUCGAUUCUCCUUUAACAUUAAUUGCCUCCUGACAAUUAAAUUUAUAUGUGCAUGUGGAAUGCAAACACAUGAAUAGUAAUGUAGUGUUUAGAGUAAUCUUUAUUGCGUUUUAUUACAGCUGCUUCACACUUUGAAUCACACACCAAACAUGACUGGAUGUAAAGUUCACACCGAGAAUCAUCUGAUUCUUUACUAAAACAUCACCAUCUAAACCCUCUUAUCCCACAUUCUUUGACGGAUUUUCCUUUAGAAAUACCACUUGUCUUUUCAC